UGGGGAAUUUUGGACAAUGGGCGCAAGCCUGAUCCAGCAAUGCCGCGUGCAGGAAGAAGGCCUUCGGGUUGUAAACCGCUUUUGUCAGGGAAGAAACGAGUUUCUCUAAUACAGAGACUUAAUGACGGUACCUGAAGAAUAAGCACCGGCUAACUACGUGCCAGCAGCCGCGGUAAUACGUAGGGUGCAAGCGUUAAUCGUAAUUACUGGGCGUAAAGCGUGCGCAGGCGGUUAUGUAAGACAGAUGUGAAAUCCCCGGGCUCAACCUGGGACCUGCAUUUGUGACUGCAUAGCUAGAGUACGGCAGAGGGGGAUGGAAUUCCGCGUGUAGCAGUGGAAUGCGUAGAUAUGCGGAGGAACACCGAUGGCGAAGGCAAUCCCCUGGGCCUGUACUGACGCUCAUGCACGAAAGCGUGGGGAGCAAACA
rnacentral:rRNA from 1 species